GUGAUACCCCCUCUGUCCGGAAAUACUUGUCGGAGAAAUGGAUGUAUUUAGACGUAUUUUAGUUCUAGAUACAUCCAUUUUUAUCCAUUUCUGCAACAAGUAAUUCCGGACGGAGGGAGUAUUAA
rfam:Triticum aestivum genome assembly, contig: Triticum_aestivum_CS42_TGACv1_scaffold_500995_6BL